GGGUCUCUGGUAUAACGGCAGAUUACUCCUCCCUCUUAAGGAGCGGAAUACGGGUUCGAAUCCCGUGGGACCCAC
rnacentral:tRNA from 1 species